rnacentral:lncRNA from 7 species
AAGAAGGCUUAUGCAGAUGUGGAAAACCAUCCAAGGGAAGGAUGGAACUGAAGGGGAAGACAUUUCAUAGACACAUUGAUCAUUGGUUCCUGAAAUCAAGACCUUUCUGCGGCGAUUCAUGAAGAAGUAAGGUGCAGCUGCUAAUGCUCCUGGUGAUUGUCUGUUCUUCUGACCUUACUGCAGAUGUUGCUGGAGGGUGGAUGGCCAAGAGUUGGCAACUUCAGGAGGAACCCCAGCAGCUCUGCAUUUGGUGUUGUGAUGUUGGGCCUCUCUACCAUUUGUGCUCUUGUCCUUUUGUUUACUGUCCCUCCAGAAGAAGUGUUAUGAAACUUGCAUCAUAACAUGAUCCUAGCCUUGUAGUGGCUGAAUCGUUUGCUUGCUGUGUGUGCACAUCAGGCCUUGGGUUCUUGCUUUCCUGAAGAGUGUAUUUGCAUUGAGAUUAUAAAACUUCUACAUGCUGGAAAAUAAUAAUAAUAAUAAUUUACAGGCAGUAAACUGGAAAAAAAACUUGCAUCUGAAGAAUGCAUAGAAAACCUCCUGCUGUGUUCAUUAAGUCAUUGUUUGCUUCCAAGGCUUUGUCUGGGAACCUCAACUUUGUCACCAGUGGGCAUUGGUUUACCUUGUGAAAUGAAUAUGGGCAUUUAAAGCCGCUAUCACAGAGAUGAACUGGAUGGCUCUGAUGGCAGCAUAUGAAAGUCAAAGUGAUGCAUGGGCACAGCUUAAUUCUUUGUUCGCAAUGGAGAAUUUCUCCCUAGAAGCAGAGCAGUCUUUCUCUUAAGACUGGAGCUAUUUCUGUUUAAUGAUUUGGGAGCAGAAGCAAGACUUAUACAUUACCUCCUUGCUACUUACUCAGCACACCUCAGGGGGAGUGUAUUCUCACAAGCAUGUGUCAUUUAGGUAAAAUAGGGUUAUUGUAGAGUUCUGACAGAAUUCUUAGAAUCAUGUUUAAAAAUAAGGAAAUGUGCUAUCAUGUUCCCUUCUUCAAACCCUAUUAGUGGUUUGGGUAUAACCACAAUCAGUAGUAUAAGAUAAAGUAAAAUCUCCACGUGUUGUUUGUGAUGGUGCUUUGUGCGCGUAAUAAUGUGCAAAAAGCUAUUUUUACGUUUCAGCUCAGGCACCUUGUAUUAUUCACCAUUAUUUAAAAUAAUGAAGUCUUGCUUAUUGCUAGUAACAGAAAUCUGAGGUAAUUUUGCCAGAGUGAUGUUGAACAGCUCAUUUUUUUCAGAUUUACUCAUUUGAAUUUAAUGUAGUUAUUUUGUAAAUUAUUAAGAAGCCUGAGAUAUGCAAAGUUGUUUUUAAAACAGUGUUCAUUAAUAGACUUGCUUUCUCUUUGACUUAAUGCAACUAAUUAAAUUGUUAUUAGAUUGCUAAUGUGGAAGACAAAACUAUCCUGGAGUGCAGAAGUGCUUGAGGAGAUCUUAGACAAGCCAUGCAUACAAAGUUAAGGAUACCUUGGGGAUUUCAGUGCUUUGAGGGAUGUGGCUGUUGUGCUGUCGUGUCUUGAAAUGAAGCAACACCAGCAAAGCCAAAAUUACUAAGAGCUUUAGUCCUUACUUAAGGCCAGUAGGGAUAGGAUAAUCAAAUGUGGAUGUUUCCUGGUUUGGGACUUUUUCUCUGGGUAUUCAGUAGUCACCAGGAUCUGAAUUUGAGCAGCUGAGUUGGGAUUACAUUGACUGUGAGCAUUUAUUUAUACAGGGAAAUAAUUAUCUCUCUUUCUGCCCUCAUUGCACAGAGCUCUGAGGAAAUCAUGUGCCACUGCCUCCUCUGUUGAGAUGGUAGGAUUUUGUCCAGCUACUUCUAUCAGCAUCAGGCUGUCUUGCUGAAACUGUGCCAGGACAUUAGGAAGUGGCUGCUGAGACUGUGCUCCUCUGUAAAUCCUGCUCCUCUGCUGUCUUGAGAGGCACGAGGGAGUACUGAGACCACCUUUUCAUGGGCUUCUUCACAGCUCUAGCGAACACCAAGGAGCUCUCAUGGCACAAAGACUACUGGGGUGUUGUAGUGCUGCCUUGGCUGGGUAUCUCCCGUCUCCUGCUACAUUUUCCUUCCACAUAAGCAAUAAUAAUGGUAAUAAUUAUAAAUAUCCUACUGUUGCUCCUUCAAACAACACCACCACAAACCCCAAAACAACAUAAUAGUACUCUUUUCCUCUCUACGUCUUGGAAGUGAUCCUUUGGCAAUGACCAGCUAAUUGAGAGAUUGACAUGGUGGCAGCAAUAAUCUGUUUUGUCAUGUCUAAAGAAUAAACCUCCAGUGAC